GGUUCCAUGGUCUAACGGUUAUGACUGCGGAUUCUGAUUCUGCCAGCGAGGGUUCGACUCCCUCUGGAACCC
rnacentral:tRNA from 1 species